rnacentral:rRNA from 1 species
AGACCCGAAACCCGGUGAUCUAGCCAUGGGCAGGUUGAAGGUUGGGUAACACUAACUGGAGGACCGAACCGACUAAUGUUGAAAAAUUAGCGGAUGACCUGUGGCUGGGGGUGAAAGGCCAAUCAAACCGGGAGAUAGCUGGUUCUCCCCGAAAGCUAUUUAGGUAGCGCCUCGUGAAUUCAUCUCCGGGGGUAGAGCACUGUUUCGGCUAGGGGGCCAUCCCGGCUUACCAACCCGAUGCAAACUGCGAAUACCGGAGAAUGUUAUCACGGGAGACACACGGCGGGUGCUAACGUCCGUCGUGAAGAGGGAAACAACCCAGACCGCCAGCUAAGGUCCCAAAGUCAUGGUUAAGUGGGAAACGAUGUGGGAAGGCCCAGACAGCCAGGAUGUUGGCUUAGAAGCAGCCAUCAUUUAAAGAAAGCGUAAUAGCUCACUGGUCGAGUCGGCCUGCGCGGAAGAUGUAACGGGGCUAAACCAUGCACCGAAGCUGCGGCAGCGAACGUAUCACUUAAAGCGAUUCAGCGGGUUACGAUUGACGGAGCGAAGCGACGUCAAAGCGUAUACAAAGUCGAGUCGGUUUAAGGAUACGUUCGUUGGGUAGGGGAGCGUUCUGUAAGCCUGCGAAGGUGGCCUGUGAGGGUUGCUGGAGGUAUCAGAAGUGCGAAUGCUGACAUAAGUAACGAUAAAGCGGGUGAAAAGCCCGCUCGCCGGAAGACCAAGGGUUCCUGUCCAACGUUAAUCGGGGCAGGGUGAGUCGACCCCUAAGGCGAGGCCGAAAGGCGUAGUCGAUGGGAAACGGGUUAAUAUUCCCGUACUUGGUGUUACUGCGAAGGGGGGACGGAGAAGGCUAUGUUGGCCGGGCGACGGUUGUCCCGGUUUAAGCGUGUAGGCUGGUUUUCCAGGCAAAUCCGGAAAAUCAAGGCUGAGGCGUGACGACGAGGCACUACGGUGCUGAAGCAACAAAUGCCCUGCUUCCAGGAAAAGCCUCUAAGCAUCAGGUAACACGAAAUCGUACCCCAAACCGACACAGGUGGUCAGGUAGAGAAUACCAAGGCGCUUGAGAGAACUCGGGUGAAGGAACUAGGCAAAAUGGUGCCGUAACUUCGGGAGAAGGCACGCUGACACGUAGGUGAAGUGAUU